UAGGGAAUCUUCGGCAAUGAAACGAAAGUCUGACCGAGCAACGCCGCGUGAGUGAAGAAGGUUUUCGGAUCGUAAAACUCUGUUGGUAGAGAAGAACGUUGGUGAGAGUGGAAAGCUCAUCAAGUGACGGUAACUACCCAGAAAGGGACGGCUAACUACGUGCCGG
rnacentral:rRNA from 1 species